CGCGGCCUAUCAGCUUGUUGGCGAGGUAACGGCUCACCAAGGCUUCGACGGGUAGCUGGUCUGAGAGGACGGACAGCCACACUGGGACUGAGACACGGCCCAGACUCCUACGGGAGGCAGCAGUGGGGAAUAUUGCGCUAAUGCGCGAAAGCGUGACGCAGCGACGCCGCGUGGGGGAUGAAGGCCCUCGGGUCGUAAACCCCUUUCGCCAGGGACGAAGGGAAACUGACGGUACCUGGAGAAGAAGUCCCGGCUAACUACGUGCCAGCAGCCGCGGUAACACGUAGGGGACGAGCGUUGUCCGGAUUCAUUGGGCGUAAAGCGCGCGUAGGCGGUCGUGUAAGUCGGAUGUGAAAAUCCCGGGCUCAACCCGGGACCUGCACCCGAUACUGCACGACUCGAGGUAGGUAGGGGAGAUCGGAAUUCCUGGUGUAGCGGUGAAAUGCGCAGAUAUCAGGAGGAACACCGGUGGCGAAGGCGGAUCUCUGGGCCUUACCUGACGCUGAGGCGCGAAAGCUAGGGGAGCGAACAGGAUUAGAUACCCUGGUAGUCCUAGCCGUAAACGUUGGAUGCUAGGUGUGGGUGAACAUCGACCCCAUCCGUGCCGAAGCUAACGCAUUAAGCACCCCGCCUGGGGAGUACGG
rnacentral:rRNA from 1 species